AAACAAAUCCUGCAAAAGUCAGUUUGACCUGAAGGGUUCAUGCAGACUGGAAACAGCAGAAACAAGUUGAUUUGUGCAGAUCAAAGACGUCCAACAUGGCCGCCGGAGGAGACGUGAAGCUGCACUCUGUGACUCAGCGCUGACAUGUCAAACAGUGGAAACAGGUUUAUCUUUAGACUGUAAGAGCUUAAUAACAUAAUGGCUGCCGAGCAGGAAACUAUGAGUUCAUGUGAUACUGGACACACACUCGGAGUGUGUGUGUGUGUGUGUGUACAUGCACGUAUGAGCGUUUCAUCUGUUUUGUUGCACUAUAUUCAAAUUGAAACGCUGGCGUUCUUGCACACAGUGAGAGCUGUAAUUACCAGCUGUAGAAUGGGAAUGUAACAUGAUGUAGAGCUGGAUACCCUCUGAAGAUUUUUAAUCGUGGCAUAAAAUGUAAAAUGGGGUUAACCCGAGUUUCCAAACCGCAAACCGCAGAAAGCCAUCGCGGGCGGCAGGAUUGCAGCUGAGGUCGGCGGUUUGGCCCUCAUGAGAGGCCGAGGCCUCCGAACCCUCAGACUGAUUUACAGACUUUCAUGAAAAACACAUUCUGUGUUUUAAACGCUCGACUGCAACAUUAAUGAGUGUUUCUGCUGUGAGUUCUUAUCUCCUGCAGGGUUCAGCCUACAGAUCAGUGUUUCCACUGAGUCACAGCCAGUCAGAGUCUGCUGCCUUCAUCAGAAAACUCACCCAAUGUUCUGCACAUCAAUCCUUCAACAGGCCCAUUAAUCAUCUCACCUCCGCAGCAGAGUGUGAUGUUUAUUACUUCUGUCCUGGUGGAGAAGCUUUAUGCUUCUUUAUACAGACCAAAACUAAGAAUUACCUGGAAACACCUAAAAAAAUAUCUGGAAUUAUAUUUGCAUGAAAAGUAUCUAAAACUACCCAACGUUCAUGUACUGCACACGCAACAUAUCUGUGUUCACUUAGUGACCACCUGGUCCACACAAAGAACAUGUAAAACUACAUAAUGUGCAGGUAAAAUAUGAAGGAAUAUAUAUAUAUGAGGAACUACCUUGUGCAUAUGAGAAAGUAUCUAGAAAAACUUAUAGUGCACAACAAACCAUGCAGUUACCUGAUGUGCACACAAACAUGAUCUGGAAACAUGCAAGAAAAGUAUCUAAAACUACCAAACGUACAUGAAAAGAAGCACCAUACUGCACAUGCAACAUAUCUGUGUAUACCUAGUGCAUAUGAGAAACUGCAUGAGAAAGUAUCUAGAAAAACCUGUCGUGCACACAAACAUGAUCUGGAAAUAUCUAAAACUAACGUGCACAAGAAAGAAGGUGAGAAACUGGAUUCCAUCUAUCUGCUGACGUCUCCUCUGAGGCUUCACGUCUUUACAAACAGGCUGGUUUACAGUUCAGAAGAGUCUUUUUAUUCAUAAACAGUCUCUGAAGUGAUUUACAGCCAAACAGACACAUCACAGGACAGAUUUGAUGUCAAUAUUUUACUCCUUCAGUGCAGCUCAGCUGUUCAGCGAGACAGAAGACAGCGUAGCGAAUGGAUUACAUGACUUCAGGAAGGCCAAAUAUCAUCUGUGUGUAGCAGAGAUCUGUCCUCAGUCUGAUUAACUGCUGUCAUUUGUUUCCCAUCAGCCCCUCUGAGUGAGGAACGCCCUCGCUAUCAGUGUCCUCAUCGCCUCCUAAAAUACAUUUUAUCAGCUGCCGUUCGCACGGCGGCGGCGGCUUUGACCUCGCUCACUGUUUGUCAUCCGUCAGCUUUUAUCUGAUUAUCUGUUUCGCUCUUCUUCGCUUUUCAUCUCUUGUAGGACGACGUGCACGAAGCGAAGCAGCUGAUCGGUCCAGCCUGUUACAGCGAGGCCUCUUCUCACCGCCGUCAUGUUAGAAAUGAUUUACAUUAUCCUGCUAAAUGUGACACACUGUGACUGCUGCAGGUUUACACUCCUGCUGAUACUCAUCUCUUCUCUCUCAGGAGGUUCCAGAUCUCUGAAAGUUGAUUUUCACAGAAAUGCCAAGAAAUCUAAAAACUGACGGAGGAAGAAAACGAUCUGCAGGGAUAUGAACUACAUGAGUAAAAGCAGCACUAUGUCUCUUUAAAUGUGCAGUGACCCUCACAGUUCAGACCUUCAGUGGUCCGACAGCUUCUGUCCUCAGUAAAACAAAGUAUUGUUGCCUCUUAGCUGAUACAAAGUGCUGCAGCACAUCCUGCUUGUUCCCAGUGAGUCUCUGAAACCGUCGCCUGCUUACGUCAAAGUCCAACAAAGUAACAGAUGAUUGUUGAGAAAGUUACAGCGAGGCUGCAGCCUGAUGAAUGAACGCAGCUUCCUCCUGUAAUAAAACUGAAGCUGAAUGAAGUCGUUCAGACAGUAAAACUACAUGUCGAGUACAAUAUGGAGGUCAAAUAGUCUCUAGAUCAUCUUCAUCUAAUAUUUAAUAAUUAUGUGUUUGACAUCACAGCUUCCUCAGGCUCAUUAUUCCUGCUGCAGCUCAGCGCCGAGGUAGUUAGAUGAGUUUAUAGCUGCACAGAAUCAUCAUCAGUCGCUUUAUAAUAGAGACGAUGAAUAUAUGUACAAACGAAUCGGAAGCUUUUAGCAGUAGAGACCAUGAACACUACAGAAACAAUCAUGAUGAAUGAAUGUUCGACUAGUAAACAGUCUGAACUGAACAUACCGCUGGAUUCAGCUGCGAAUCUGCUGCGGUGAAUCUGAGCAGUGUUUCGAUCACUCAGCUCAGAGAAAAAGUGAAGCAACGACACAAACUACGGAUCUCUGAACAGAACGAAGAUGAUCAAUAUAUACAGCAGACAAAGAUGUCAGAUGAUGAUAAUCAGUCAAAGUGAAUCAUGUUCAUGAGUUUGUUGGAUUCUUUCUUCUGCCUGCAGCUGAUCAUCAGACACAAACUCAGACUACACGUUAUAGUAACGGAAACUCUUACAAUCUUAUAUUUGUACAUCUGUGAAUCAUCACAACUAACAUUAAUGUUCUAUUAUUAUUAUUAUUAUUAUUAUUAUUAUUAUUAUUAUUAUCUGCACAUUGCUGUUUAUACUACGAACAUUUCAUUCUCUUCUAUUUAAACUUAUAACAGCUGUUUUCACUUACAUAUAUUUUAUUGUAAAUUUCUAUUAUAUAUUCAUUGAUUACUUGAUUCUUGUGAAUAUUUUGAUCGGUAUGCACCAUAACAGAGAAAAAUUCCUUUAAUAUGCAAUCUACUAAACAAUAAACCUGUUUCUGAUUCAAACUCA